CCCUGUGCCCCAGAGAUGUGGUGGCUCAGUAGCUUGCCAGCCCAAAUUUAAUGGCUUAGCAUCUCCAAGGGGGCUGGGGUCAGGACAUAGGUAGGAGUAAAACCAAGCACAGGCUUGAAAAAUUGAUAAAUCGUACCAAAUAAUUUCUGAAAUCCAAUAUAUACCCUCCUGCCUUGUUGGUCAUUGUAGAUUAUUUCUUCACUGAUGGGUUUUUAUAAUCUGAACAGGGUGGUUUCCCAAAAUCCUGCAUCAGAUGUUUCCUCCAAGAAAGAUUGUGUCAAGAGAAUGGUAUUACAUGCCAGGAAGGUGAUGGGCCAGCCCACCUCUCAAGUAGGUGUGUCUCUGGCACAAGGGGCAUCACUUUGACAGCCCCAAAAGGAAAAUCUAGUUAUUUUGAUUCCUGUCUUUAGAAGAGCCUUUCCAUCUCCCAGAGCUACCAGGAGCAGGGGACAGAGAAGAUCCAUGA